AUUGAACGCUGGCGGCAGGCUUAACACAUGCAAGUCGAACGAGUGGCGGACGGGUGAGUAAUGCUUGGGAAUCUAGCUUAUGGAGGGGGAUAACUACGGGAAACUGUAGCUAAUACCGCGUACCAUAGGAUGAGCCCACGUGGGAUUAGGUAGUUGGUGAGGUAAAGGCUCACCAAGCCGACGAUCUCUAGCUGGUCUGAGAGGAUGACCAGCCACACUGGGACUGAGACACGGCCCAGACGCCUACGGGAGGCAGCAGUGGGGAAUCUUCCGCAAUGGACGAAAGUCUGACGGAGCAACGCCGCGUGAGUGAUGACGGCCUUCGGGUUGUAAAGCUCUGUUAAUCGGGAGACGGUACCGGAAUAGAAAGCCACGGCUAACUACGUGCCAGCAGCCGCGGUAAUAC
rnacentral:rRNA from 1 species